CAGUAGCCGCGGUAAUACAGAGGGUGCGAGCGUUAAUCGGAUUUACUGGGCGUAAAGCGUGCGUAGGCGGCUUUUUAAGUCGGAUGUGAAAUCCCUGAGCUUAACUUAGGAAUUGCAUUCGAUACUGGGAAGCUAGAGUAUGGGAGAGGAUGGUAGAAUUCCAGGUGUAGCGGUGAAAUGCGUAGAGAUCUGGAGGAAUACCGGUGGCGAAGGCAGCCAUCUGGCCUAAUACUGACGCUGAGGUACGAAAGCAUGGGGAGCAAACAGGAUUAGAUACCCGGGUAGUCCCUGUCUCUUAUAU
rnacentral:rRNA from 1 species